GUGGGUUCUAGGGUUUCAUCUCUAGGUUUUGUGAGAAGAAAAAUACAAGAGUGAGUCUUGUCCAAUCUUUUACACCACCACCUUCUCAUAAAGCUUCAUCUUCUGAUCUAGAGGAGUCUAGGAGAUCCAAAGAAAGGAGCUUGGCAGCCAUCCAGAGCCUUCGACGUGAGCUAACACUCCCUCGAAGAAAGAUCUAAUUAGAGCUUCGAGUGGAUGAUCUGUAGAGGCCGGACGACUUGUGCGGUUACUCGGU
rnacentral:lncRNA from 1 species